AGAGUUUGAUCCUGGCUCAGGAUGAACGCUGGCGGCGUGCUUAACACAUGCAAGUCGAACGAUCCUUCGGGAUAGUGGCGGACGGGUGAGUAACGCGUGGGAAUCUGCCCUCAGGAGGGGGAUAACGGCUGGAAACGGCCGCUAAUACCCCAUAUGCCGAGAGGUGAAAUGAAUUUCGCCUGAGGAUGAGCCCGCGUCUGAUUAGCUAGUUGGUGGGGUAAAGGCCUACCAAGGCAACGAUCAGUAGCUGGUCUGAGAGGAUGAUCAGCCACACUGGGACUGAGACACGGCCCAGACUCCUACGGGAGGCAGCAGUGGGGAAUUUUCCGCAAUGGGCGAAAGCCUGACGGAGCAACGCCGCGUGAGGGAUGAAGGCCUCUGGGCUGUAAACCUCUUUUCUCAAGGAAGAAGACCUGACGGUACUUGAGGAAUAAGCCACGGCUAAUUCCGUGCCAGCAGCCGCGGUAAUACGGGAGUGGCAAGCGUUAUCCGGAAUUAUUGGGCGUAAAGCGUCCGCAGGCGGCCUUGUAAGUCUGUUGUUAAAGCGUGGAGCUCAACUCCAUUUAAGCAAUGGAAACUACAAGGCUGGAGUGUGGUAGGGGCAGAGGGAAUUCCCGGUGUAGCGGUGAAAUGCGUAGAUAUCGGGAAGAACACCAGUGGCGAAGGCGCUCUGCUGGGCCAUAACUGACGCUCAUGGACGAAAGCCAGGGGAGCGAAAGGGAUUAGAUACCCCUGUAGUCCUGGCCGUAAACGAUGAACACUAGGUGUCGGGGGAAUCGACCCCCUCGGUGUCGUAGCCAACGCGUUAAGUGUUCCGCCUGGGGAGUACGCACGUAAGUGUGAAACUCAAAGGAAUUGACGGGGGCCCGCACAAGCGGUGGAGUAUGUGGUUUAAUUCGAUGCAACGCGAAGAACCUUACCAGGGUUUGACAUCCUGCGAACCCCUGAGAAAUCGGGGGGUGCCUUCGGGAGCGCAGAGACAGGUGGUGCAUGGCUGUCGUCAGCUCGUGUCGUGAGAUGUUGGGUUAAGUCCCGCAACGAGCGCAACCCACGUCUUUAGUUGCCAGCAUUCAGUUGGGCACUCUAGAGAGACCGCCGGUGAUAAACCGGAGGAAGGUGUGGAUGACGUCAAGUCAUCAUGCCCCUUACAUCCUGGGCUACACACGUACUACAAUGCUACGGACAAAGGGCAGCAAGCUCGCGAGAGUUAGCAAAUCCCAAAAACCGUGGCUCAGUUCAGAUCGUAGGCUGCAACUCGCCUACGUGAAGGAGGAAUCGCUAGUAAUCGCAGGUCAGCAUACUGCGGUGAAUACGUUCCCGGGCCUUGUACACACCGCCCGUCACACCAUGGAAGUUGGCCAUGCCCGAAGUCGUUACUCCAACCCUUGUGGAGGAGGACGCCGAAGGUGGGGCUGAUGACUGGGGUGAAGUCGUAACAAGGUA
rnacentral:rRNA from 1 species